GACCUGAGCUCAGGCAAGAACACCCGCUGAACUUAAGCAUAUCAAUAAGCGGAGGAAAAGAAACUAACAAGGAUUCCCUUAGUAACGGCGAGUGAAACGGGAAUAGCCCAACUUGAAAAUCUCCCUUUGGAGAAUUGUAGUCUAUAGAAGCGUCCUCUGUGGCGGCCUGAGCCCAAGUCCACUGGAAAGUGGCGUCAGAGAGGGUGAGAACCCCGUCGGCUCUCGGCUUAGCUACUCCACGAGGUGCUUUCCACGAGUCGGGUUGUUUGGGAAUGCAGCCCAAAAUUGGA
rnacentral:rRNA from 1 species